rnacentral:rRNA from 1 species
GAUGAACGCUGGCGGCGUGCUUAACACAUGCAAGUCGAACGAAGAUGCCGGAGUGCUUGCACUUUGGCAGACUGAGUGGCGGACGGGUGAGUAACGCGUGGGUAACCUGCCUUAUACAGGGGGAUAACAGUUGGAAACGACUGCUAAUACCGCAUAAGCGCACGGUAUCGCAUGAUACAGUGUGAAAAACUCCGGUGGUAUAAGAUGGACCCGCGUCUGAUUAGCUUGUUGGUGAGGUAACGGCCCACCAAGGCGACGAUCAGUAGCCGACCUGAGAGGGUGACCGGCCACAUUGGGACUGAGACACGGCCCAGACUCCUACGGGAGGCAGCAGUGGGGAAUAUUGCACAAUGGAGGAAACUCUGAUGCAGCGACGCCGCGUGAGUGAAGAAGUAAUUCGUUAUGUAAAGCUCUAUCAGCAGGGAAGAUAGUGACGGUACCUGACUAAGAAGCUCCGGCUAAAUACGUGCCAGCAGCC